GUCGGAAAGAUGGCCGAGCGUGGCCCAAGGCGCCGAGACUUAAGCUCUGGGUCUUCGAAAGAGAGCGUGGGUUCGAACUCACUUUUGAUA